AGACAGGAGCGGCUGGGAAUGUUUCCCUGGACUGUGAACCUCGACGUGGCAGUGAGAUUUCUGCGGGUCAGUCCUCCUCUGGGUGAAGUUCCCAGCAGGCCCCACUGGAAAGAAAAGGGAAAAAGAAAAAGAAAAAGACACCCAUCAUCUCCUGUUCCGGGCCAACAUACCACUGGGGUCAUAACUCAAAUGGUAGAACGUGUCACUGGCACGAGGUGGGGACGGCGGUACGCAGGAUGUUUGCAGAUCUGUGCUGAUGGAUGGAAGGUGUGGGCUUCUUGAAGCUCUGAGGUGGUGAACUUGGGUCAUGGAUUAAAAGGUAAAGAAGGAAAUCAAUGGGUGUGCCCAAUAACAUCCCCGAGGUGCAGAGACAGACGCAACGCAGGCAGACGAGAGGUCAGUGUUUGUAUCUUCUUUUCAAAAGAUCUGCUGAAUUCCAAGAGGAAUGUCUUGAGUAAAAGGUUAACAGAGAGAAAAAGGAUUUCGCCUUUGAAGGGUGAUUUCCGCUGCCAGGGUCGUCCCCAUAUUCCCUUCGCGCACUUGUGGUUUGCCUGAAGCCUGGGACGGAGCGGGGGCCCCCUGCUUUGUGCACUAGGGGCUUUUGUCUGUGUGCUUCUCUCCAUUAACACUGAUAGGUCCUUUCUGAUUUAUGUGAAUUCAUUUCUUUUUUAUUUAGCAUCUUUUCUGAUUUUUAGUCCAAUAAACUUUGAUUUCUUAGGAAUGGCCUAAUUUUCCUCUUUAGCCUUUUUUUUCUUCCUCUCACACUCUUUUUGAAAAUCUUUUCCUUAUAAAUCAUAAAGGUAAAGUAGUCAGGUUUUACCUCUCCCACGAAUUUUCUGUGCACAUGAAUGUCAUGCUGCAUCUCCCUCUCAAGCUCUACGGAAUAGGAACCUAUUGUUUUCCCAUUUUAAAGUGUUAUUAAUUACAUAUUCAAUAUAUUCAUGGUGUUAUUAAUUCCAGACAAAUUUGAGAAGUCUAUUCCUUCCUUCUAGGACUACUGAGGUGCCUGAAAUGCCAAGCGACAGUCAAUGAAACCUCACCUGUUGGAUCAAAGUGCUUCCGUCUGUUCAAAUGGAUUCUGUGAUCCCUGAAACAAUUCGCAGAAUUACCCUUCGGGAGGCGGCUGAUGUUGGCAUUUUUGUGCUGAACACGCUUCCUGGUUAUUCUGCCCAAACAGAAAGUUGAAAACUUCCAUCUUUAGGUCAAACUGUCUUGCUCUUUUUUGAUGUGUUAGAAAAUCUCUCUAAUAAUGAGACAUAUGAAAUACAGUCAGUGAAUAAGCAGACGAAAAGUGGGAAGACGAGGGGGAACGAGGAGAGAAAGCGAGUUUCUGACGGUUUUGAUCGUGACAGGUCAUUUCCUCUAGACUCACACUUGUUUGCAUCGGUGCAGGAAGCCGAUGGACCCGGUAAGGACGGAAGAGGGGGGCCCCUUGGGCCAACAUGAGCCUCGACAGGAAAAGUUGUCUGCAGAAUCACUAGUUCAGCGGAUAGUUUUCUGGGGUGGGAGACGACCUUAACUGGCUUUGUCCCCUGAACAUAGGUUUUGUUUUAGGACCUGAAGCAGACUACCAUGGUGGGAUCACAUAGGAAUCCAGAUCUUUUUAAUAUCCAAAUACUAAAUAUUAUGUAGCUAGAAUGUCAUACUGUUACAGAACGUGAGUUUGAGGGUUAGGCAGGCUUGAAAUGGAAUCACAUUUUCACUCCUGGGUGGUGGACAAGCUCUGGAUCAGGGACAAGUUGUUUAUAUUCACCCAACUUAGCUUUCUCCUUCACGUAGUAAGUGCUGUCACAGUACCCACUGCAUAGGCUCAUUGUGAUUAUCAAAUGAGAUGAUAUACGUAAAAAUGUUUAGGUGCUUGCUUAAUGCGUAUACCCUUCAAACGUGUUACCUGCCAUUAGUAGAUCAUUAAUCAUAACCAUAAUCAUAAUCACAUUAGUAUAGGUUAGGAAGAGGGGUUCUUUUUAAGAGUCUGGUCCUACUUUGGCUGUUGGGGGCAGUUAGGUAAAUUCCCUCUCCUCCUUCAUUGCCCAGGCGGAUUUCUGAUGACCCGUGUGAAACCCAUGCCACAUGUUUUAUUUGGUCAUCAUGCGUUUAAUCAAAUCAGACUCAAUAUUUUUGAAAAAUCAGCUGUCAUUUUUCAAGCCCAGUGUAAACUAACUGGUCAGUCUGUCAGUUAAAUCAACAAAAUUAAUCAGGUGCACAAAUCAGUAAGUGUUAGAGGCUGUACAAUAAAUAGGAGCAUUUUUUCCUAAAUCCAACAAUCUUGGUAGGUGGCAAUCUUGAAAUCUAAUUGGGAAUCGAGGAUAACAGGUACGUGAAUAUGAAUACAGAGGUAAGUACUGUGUAUAAGAACUUUGUCUUUAAGACAAUUAUGAGGUUUUUAUUUUGUUGCAUUUUUUUCUUUAAAGAGUAGCAGAAUUUUGUGAAUUCUGGAUUUACUACAAUUGCUUGCUUACCAAACACUGCUUGCUCGAAAUUGAUUUGCCCAGAAAUUGCUGGAUUUGAGGUCUGUCUUUAUAUUAACCCGCAAACUCAGUUGGAUGCCUGACAUCACUGUUAUUUUAAGGACUCAGACUUAGCGUCCAGCCCCGCUUCUCCAGCUCCUGACUUGUACCUCCCAUUUUAGAGUUGCCCUCCUUGAUCUCAUACCAACAGUGCCAAAACACUCUGCCCACCACGGUGCCAUAUUUGUAUUGCAUUUUACAGUUAAGUGAGUGUUUUCAUAUGUGUGAUUGGUUCAUUUAAACAUAGGAUUAGGCACUGCAUUAUGUAGCAUGUAAUGUGCAGAUUGUAAGUGUACAGACAAGAUGAAUUAGUAAAAGAUGUAAUGCUUGAGGAAGAUUUCAUAAAACAGGCGAAUUGACCUGGGCCUAGAAGAUGGAGUACAAGAAUGUUGAUCUUUCUACCUUACAGCUUCAUGCAUUUUCUUUUUGUUUAGUUUUAUAGGACAUGGGAGUGUAUUCUCAUAUAACAGUCCUGCCUUUGAAAGCUCCCCAGUGGUUCUCUGAGUAUCUCUCCAGUCCUUUCUCUGUGCAUUCUCCGUGUAAGUGCGCACAAGGAGAAGCAUACAUUUUUCAAUGGAGGGGGUUAUGCUCUACUCCAGUCUCUGACUUUCUUUUCUAUAUUGACAAUUUGCCUUGUUUUUUUUUCUCAUACAGUAUUUUUUGUGAGAUCUAGUUCAUGUACCAUAAAAUUCACUCUUAAAAUGUAUGAUUCACUAGUUUUUAGUAUGUUCACAAAGUUGUGUAACUGUCAACAAUAUCAAUCCCAGAACAGUUCAGCACCCAAAAAGAAACCCCUUCCGCAUUAGCAGUUGCUGUCUACUCUUCCCUUCUCUCAACCCCUGGAAAACAUUAAUCUAGUUAAUGUAGUUUGUGUCUCUAUGGAUUUGCCUAUUCUUGACAUUUUAUAUGAAUAGAAUCCAAAGCCAUUUGUGUUUGCCUGUUACCACAUAGCAUAAUGUUCUCAAGGUCCAGCUGUGUGGUGUCAUGAUGAGUACUUCAUUUCUCUUUGUGGCUGCAUAUUCUAUUGUAUGGGUACACCAAAUUUGUUAAUCCAUUCAUCCAUCAGCAUUUGGGUUCCACCUUUUAGCUUUCAGAACAAUGCUGCUAUGACCAUUCAUGUACACAGUUUUUGUGUGGGCAUGUACAAACAUGUUUUCGUUUCUCUGGUGUACAUGAAUCUUGGAAUUGCAUAACAUCCGGUUUGAAGUAUGGUAACUUCAGCUUGAGAAACUGCCAAACUGUUUUGUAAUGUGGCUGGAAAUUUUUAUAACUCUAUCAGCAGUGCACGAGAAUCCGAUAGCUUCACAUCCUUAUUAUUGUUUGUGUUUCUGAUUGUAGCCAUCCUACAGUAGGGGGAGUGCUAUCUCAUUGUGGUUUUAGUUUGCAUUUCCCUAAUGACUAAUGAUGUUGAGCAUCUUUUCAUGUGCUUAUAGCCAUCCAUUGGUAUACCUUCUUUGGAAAAAUGUCUACUCACAUCAUUUGCAAAUGUUAAAAAUUGGAUUAUUCAUCUUUUGUAGAGUUUAAAAUUUCUUUUAUAUUUCUGAAUA